rnacentral:rRNA from 1 species
CUACGGGCGGCUGCAGUGAGGAAUAUUGGUCAAUGGGCGCGAGCCUGAACCAGCCAUCCCGCGUGCAGGAUGACGGCCCUAUGGGUUGUAAACUGCUUUUCUAUGCCAAGAAACCUGAUUACGUGUAAUCAGUUGCCGGUAGCAUAGGAAUAAGCAUCGGCUAACUCCGUGCCAGCAGCCGCGGUAAUACGGAGGAUGCAAGCGUUAUCCGGAUUCAUUGGGUUUAAAGGGUGCGCAGGUGGGCUUGUAAGUCAGUGGUGAAAUGCUGCCGCUUAACGGUAGAACUGCCAUUGAUACUGGGAGUCUUGAGUAUGGUUGAGGUAGGCGGAAUGUGUUGUGUAGCGGUGAAAUGCAUAGAUAUGACACAGAACGCCAAUUGCGAAGGCAGCUUACUAAGCCAUUACUGACGCUGAGGCACGAAAGCGUGGGGAGCGAAUAGGAUUAGAUACCCCAGUAGUC